AAGAGAUCGGGAUAACACCUGGAAACAGAUGCUAAUACCGGAUAACAACAGAUGAUGCCUAUCAACUGUUUAAAAGAUGGUUCUGCUAUCACUCUUGGAUGGACCUGCGGCGCAUUAGCUAGUUGGUAGGGUAACGGCCUACCAAGGCGAUGAUGCAUAGCCGAGUUGAGAGACUGAUCGGCCACAUUGGGACUGAGACACGGCCCAAACUCCUACGGGAGGCAGCAGCA
rnacentral:rRNA from 1 species